rnacentral:rRNA from 1 species
UGUCUUUUUGAAAAUAAUAUAAGGUCUAAUCUGCCCACUGAUUUUUAUAAUUGAAGGGCUGCAGUAUUUUGACUGUACAAAGGUAGCAUAAUCAUUAGUCAUUUAAUUGAUGACUUGUAUGAAGGAUUGGAUGAAAUAUAAACUGUCUCUUAAUUAUAUAGUAUAGAAUUUAAUUUUUUAUUUAAAAAGUUAAAAUAUAUUAAAAAGACGAGAAGACCCUAUAGAGUUUUAUAGUUAAAUUUAAUUAAAAUUAUUUAUAAAAUUAAAAUUAAAAUUAAUUUAAUUAUUCUGUUGGGGUGAUAGAAAAAUAUGAAAAACUUUUUAUAUAUUUAUAUUAAGAACAUUAAUAAAUGAUUAAAUGAUCCAAUAUUAUUGAUUAUAAGAAAAAAUUACCUUAGGGAUAACAGCGUAAUUUUUUUUUUUAGUUCAUAUAAGAAAAAGAGUUUGCGACCUCGAUGUUGGAUUAAGAUAAAAUUUAAAUGUAGAAG